CCUGAGGUGACUCAGUUUUUUCGGGCAUCCACGUCGUGGAUCCUUGGUGAUGGUAACACCUGCCGCUUCUGGUUGGACCCGUGGUUGGACGGUCUUUCCCCCCUCGACAGCGCCCCUUCCUUGGUGGCGCUGGUUCCUCGCCGUGUUCGGCGCUCGCGUACGGUGGCCCAGGCGCUUUCCGACCGUUGCUGGAUCUCUGACAUCCGAGGCCCCCUCGGUCCCGCGGCCGCGGUUGAAUAUGUGGAGCUCUGGCGCCGCCUCCAGACUGUCGAGCUUGUCCCGCGCCCGGACCUGCUUCGCUGGCGCUGGACUGCCAAUGGCGUCUACUCUGCUUCCUCAUGCUACAUCGCCCUAUUUCAUGGAUCCACGGCCUCCGAGUUUUGGCGCCUCACCUAG
rnacentral:rRNA from 1 species